rnacentral:rRNA from 1 species
AUUGAACGCUGGCGGCAUGCCCUACACAUGCAAGUCGAACGGUAACAGCACUUCGGUGGCUGACGAGUGGCGAACGGGUGAGUAAUACAUCGGAACGUGCCCGAGAGUGGGGGAUAACGCAGCGAAAGCUGUGCUAAUACCGCAUACGAUCUACGGAUGAAAGCAGGGGACCGCAAGGCCUUGCGCUCAUGGAGCGGCCGAUGGCAGAUUAGGUAGUUGGUGGGAUAAAAGCUUACCAAGCCGACGAUCUGUAGCUGGUCUGAGAGGACGACCAGCCACACUGGGACUGAGACACGGCCCAGACUCCUACGGGAGGCAGCAGUGGGGAAUUUUGGACAAUGGGCGAAAGCCUGAUCCAGCCAUGCCGCGUGCAGGAUGAAGGCCUUCGGGUUGUAAACUGCUUUUGUACGGAACGAAAAGGUCUUUUCUAAUAAAGAAGGCUCAUGACGGUACCGUAAGAAUAAGCACCGGCUAACUACGUG